rnacentral:lncRNA from 1 species
AUCAUUACAGAAAGCUGUAUACCUGCACAAGUGGUGGCUGCCAUUGAUGUCAACACUGUCGCUAAUGAAGUAUACAAGUAUAAUUUUCCUCACACACAGUUACUUGCCAAGACGAUUGAAUUACAAAAAUUACCAAAGUAUAUUCUUUUGGAAAAUGUUAAAGGUUUUGAAGUAUCUUCUACAAAGACCUCUUGAUACAAACAAUAGAAAAUUGUGGCUUUCAGUACCAAGAGUUUCUAUUAUCUCCAACCUCCUUGGCAUUCCAAAUUCAAGGCUACGAUAUUUUCUUAUUGCAAAGCUUCAGUCAGAGCCAUUACCCUUUCAAGCCC